rnacentral:rRNA from 1 species
AUGUCCCCUUAUCUCUUCCUUUUUUGUGUGGAGGGUUUUUCAGCAAUAUUGAAGAAAGCUCAAGAUGAUAAACAUAUAAAGGGUGUGUCAUUUGGAGGCACUGGCCCACAGGUGACUCAUCUUCUGUUUGCGGUUGAUAGUAUUGUCUUCCUCCAGGGCUCUAUUGAUAAUUUCCAGGUACUGAAGCAUAUCCUGGGUAGAUAUGAGGAUGCGUCGGGGCAGAAGGUCAACCUUCGUAAAUCCUCAAUUUUCUUUGGUAAGGGCCGCCCACAGGAGUUGAAGGACUCUCUUAAAGAGACUAUAGGAAUUGAAUCAGAGGCGUUGAGUGAGAGAUACUUGGGACUCCCGACAGUGGUUGGAAGGGUAAAAGAUGGAACUUUCAAAUAUGUGACAGAGAGCUCAAAGAAAAAAGUAACAGGAUGGAAAAGGCAAGGGCUGUCAAAAAAAGCCCGAGAAGUUCUUGUAAAAUCUGGGCUGCAAGCUACUCCAACGUUUACCAUGAGCUGUUUUCACCUCACAAAGAAGAUGUGCCGGAACUUGACAUCUAUUUCCUCAAAAUUCUGGUGGGGCCUUUAA